rnacentral:rRNA from 1 species
AGCGAACGCUGGCGGCAGGCUUAACACAUGCAAGUCGAGCGGGCACUUUCGGGUGUCAGCGGCGGACGGGUGAGUAACGCGUGGGAACGUGCCCUCUGGUUCGGAAUAACUCAGGGAAACUUGAGCUAAUACCGGAUACGCCCUUUUGGGGAAAGGCUUGCUGCCGGAGGAUUGGCCCGCGUCUGAUUAGCUAGUUGGUGAGGUAACGGCUCACCAAGGCGACGAUCAGUAGCUGGUCUGAGAGGAUGAUCAGCCACACUGGGACUGAGACACGGCCCAGACUCCUACGGGAGGCAGCAGUGGGGAAUAUUGGACAAUGGGCGCAAGCCUGAUCCAGCCAUGCCGCGUGAGUGAUGAAGGCCUUAGGGUUGUAAAGCUCUUUUAUCCGGGACGAUAAUGACGGUACCGGAGGAAUAAGCCCCGGCUAACUUCGUG